rnacentral:rRNA from 1 species
CAGCCGCCGCGGGAAUACAGAGGGUGCGAGCGUUAAUCGGAUUUACUGGGCGUAAAGCGUGCGUAGGCGGCUUCUUAAGUCGGAUGUGAAAUCCCUGAGCUUAACUUAGGAAUUGCAUUCGAUACUGGGAAGCUAGAGUAUGGGAGAGGAUGGUAGAAUUCCAGGUGUAGCGGUGAAAUGCGUAGAGAUCUGGAGGAAUACCGAUGGCGAAGGCAGCCAUCUGGCCUAAUACUGACGCUGAGGUACAAAAGCAUGGGGAGCAAACAGGAUUAGAUACCCCCGUAGUCCCUGUCUCUUAUAA